AUUGAACGCUGGCGGCAGGCCUAACACAUGCAAGUCGAGCGGAUGAAGGGAGCUUGCUCCUGGAUUCAGCGGCGGACGGGUGAGUAAUGCCUAGGAAUCUGCCUGGUAGUGGGGGAUAACGUCCGGAAACGGGCGCUAAUACCGCAUACGUCCUGAGGGAGAAAGUGGGGGAUCUUCGGACCUCACGCUAUCAGAUGAGCCUAGGUCGGAUUAGCUAGUUGGUGGGGUAAAGGCCUACCAAGGCGACGAUCCGUAACUGGUCUGAGAGGAUGAUCAGUCACACUGGAACUGAAACACGGUCCAGACUCCUACGGGAGGCAGGAGUGGGGAAUAUUGGACAAUGGGCGAAAGCCUGAUCCAGCCAUGCCGCGUGUGUGAAGAAGGUCUUCGGAUUGUUAAGCACUUUAAGUUGGGAGGAAGGGCAGUAAGUUAAUACCUUGCUGUUUUGACGUUACCAACAGAAUAAGCACCGGCUAACUUCGUG
rnacentral:rRNA from 1 species